GUUCCCUGCCCGCUAGGCAGUCAAGUUAACAUAAAAUCCCAGCCCCACCGGCUGUAAUGCGUUCCCUGCCCGCUAGGCAGUCAAGCUAACAUAAAAUCCCAGCCCCUCCGGCUGUAAUGCGUUCCCUGCCCGCUAGGCAGUCAAGCUAACAUAAAAUCCCAGCCCCACCGGCUGUAAUGCGUUCCCUGCCCGCUAGGCAGUCAAGCUAACAUAAAAUCCCAGCCCCACCGGCUGUAAUGCGUUCCCUGCCCGCUAGGCAGUCAAGCAAACAUAAAAUCCCAGCCCCACCGGCUGUAAUGCGUUCCCUGCCCGCUAGGCAGUCAAGCUAACAUAAAAUGCCAGCCCCACCGGCUGUAAUGCGUUCCCUGCCCGCUAGGCAGUCAAGCUAACAUAAAAUCCCAGCCCCACCGGCUGUAAUGCGUUCCCUGCCCGCUAGGCAGUCAAGCUAACAUAUAAUGGGUUCCCUGCCCGCUAGGCAG